ACGCUGGCGGCGUGCCUAAUACAUGCCAGUCGAGCGCACAGACGAGGAGCUUGCUCCUCUGACGUUAGCGGCGGACGGGUGAGUAACACGUGGAUAACCUACCUAUAAGACUGGGAUAACUUCGGGAAACCGGAGCUAAUACCGGAUAAUAUAUUGAACCGCAUGGUUCAAUAGUGAAAGACGGUUUUGCUGUCACUUAUAGAUGGAUCCGCGCCGCAUUAGCUAGUUGGUAAGGUAACGGCUUACCAAGGCAACGAUGCGUAGCCGACCUGAGAGGGUGAUCGGCCACACUGGAACUGAGACACGGUCCAGACUCCUACGGGAGGCAGCAGUAGGGAAUCUUCCGCAAUGGGCGAAAGCCUGACGGAGCAACGCCGCGUGAGUGAUGAAGGUCUUCGGAUCGUAAAACUCUGUUAUUAGGGAAGAACAAAUGUGUAAGUAACUAUGCACGUCUUGACGGUACCUAAUCAGAAAGCCACGGCUAACUACGUG
rnacentral:rRNA from 1 species